rnacentral:piRNA from 1 species
CAGUAAGCCAUGAACAACAGAGCCAGU